rnacentral:rRNA from 1 species
CCUACGGGUGGCUGCAGUGGGGGAUAUUGCACAAUGGGGGGAACCCUGAUGCAGCGACGCCGCGUGGGUGAAGAAGAGCCUCGGAGCGUAAAGCCCUGUCAGCAGGGAAGAAAAUGACGGUACCUGAAGAAGAAGCCCCGGCUAACUCCGUGCCAGCAGCCGCGGUAAUACGGAGGGGGCAAGCGUUAUCCGGAUUUACUGGGUGUAAAGGGGGCGCAGGCGGCGAUUCCAGUCAGGAGUGAAAGCCCGGGGCCCCACCCCGGGACUGCUCUUGGAACUGCGAGGCUGGAGUGCAGGGGUGGCAGGCGGAAUUCCUGGUGUAGCCGUGAAAUGCGUAGAUAUCAGGAUGAACACCGGUGGCGAAGGCGGCCUGCUGGACUGCAACUGACGUUGCGGCCCGAAAGCGUGGGGAGCAAACAGGAUUAGCUACCCCAGUAGUC